rnacentral:rRNA from 1 species
UACGAAGGGGGCUAGCGUUGCUCGGAAUCACUGGGCGUAAAGGGUGCGUAGGUGGGCAGGUAAGUCAGUGGUGAAAUCUCCGAGCUUAACUCGGAAACUGCCGUUGAUACUAUUUGUCUUGAAUAUUGUGGAGGUAAGCGGAAUAUGUCAUGUAGCGGUGAAAUGCUUAGAUAUGACAUAGAACACCAAUUGCGAAGGCAGCUUACUACACAACCAUUGACGCUGAGGCACAAAAGCGUGGGGAUCAAACAGG